CAGCAGGCAGUGGCUGCAGCAAGCUGAGAUGGUGACACUGCACUCCAGCCUCGGUGACAGAGCAAGACUCUGUCUCAAAAAAAAAAAAAGGCUUAACUGACCACACGUGAAACAUGCAGGAAGCGCAACAUAAGUUGCUAUGGCAGUACCAAGGAGUGGGUUCCCCUUAGAUGUCCUUUCUCUUACCUUUCCAGUCACAAACUAUACACUGUUCCAUAAUCAUCUCAACACAGGAUUUGCGGAGUUUGACUGACUGUCAGAUACCUUCCCACAUGUCCCGUCACCCUGCGCUUGUGUUGAACAAGAUCCACGCUGCACAGGGCCACAGGUCCUCGUCACGUGAGUUUAUCACGAGGCGCAGGGGAAGCUGUUCAUGUUGUAUCCUGAGUGUUUUUCCAGAAAGCUUUGACGAGAGAAAAAAAAUCACACAGAAAGGUGUCCACAUCACCACUUUCCAGCUCCAUGGGUUUUUGCAAACUGAGCACACUCGUGGGCCAGCAGCGGGGCCCCCAGUGAGGACGCCCUUCCUGCUGCUCCUGCCGUCGGUCCGUGGCACCGCACGGGCUGUUUCUGGAAUGAUCUAG
rnacentral:lncRNA from 13 species